GUCCUCUUGUUUUUAUAUGAGGUCUGACCUGCCCAGUGAAAGUGUUUUAACGGCCGCGGUAUCUUGACCGUGCAAAGGUAGCAUAAUCAUUAGUCUUUUAAUAGGAGGCUGGUAUGAAAGGUUUGACGAGUUACCGACUGUCUCAUUUGAUUUGCAAUUAAAAUUUAAUUUUUCAGUUAAAAAGCUGAAAUGUAUUUGGAAGACGAGAAGACCCUAUAGAGCUUUAUAAAUAAUAUGUUUAUUUAAAUUUUUGAAUUAUUAUAUUUAUUUAUUAUUUUAUUUAUUUUGUUGGGGUGACAAAAAUAUAUAAUUAACUUUUUUAUUUAUAUUACAUUGAUUUAUGAGUUUUAGAUCCAGUAGUACUGAUUGUUAGAUUAAGUUACC
rnacentral:rRNA from 1 species